AAGUCGUAACAAGGUUUCCGUAGGUGAACCUGCGGAAGGAUCAUUAAUGAUUUGAAAAAAAAGUGAGCUCAUGAAUAUGAGUUUUACUUUACACUUCUUUUAAACCCCUGUUUUAAAAAUGUUUACUAGAGUGUUUUUAAAAUUAUAACUGUAAUGGUUGUAAUGAAAAAGUUUAAUAAUAAAACUUUCAGCAAUGGAUCUCUUGGUUCAG
rnacentral:misc_RNA from 1 species